rnacentral:tRNA from 1 species
GACAUGUGCCCGAAAGAUAGGGCUUACCUUGAUAGGGUAAUCAAUAGAGGUUCAAACCCCCUC